AUCCCAUCAGCAACCAGACUCAACAUCUCAACAUCACUCACCUCUGUCACACAUGUUCAGACUCUGUCCACUGUUGUGGUUCUACUGAAGCCGUGAUCCGAUUGGUCCUCUCUGCUCUGGUGGGCGUGGCUACUGUCAUUCUUCUGGUUUAUGACAUCAGAUCCAGAAGAGCUGAACGAGAUCAAGCUCAUAUUCACACAUCAGGAAGUAUUGAAAUCUAAAGCAGAACGCUGAACUUUAAAGAUUCUUCAAAUGUGUUUUUAUCUUCUAGUUUUUUUGUUGUAAUAAACACUGAUGAUUAUUUGAGCUUCUCUCUCUCAGUUUGUAAACCUUUAUUGUUUAUAUUUCUCUCUGA